rnacentral:rRNA from 1 species
CGUAGGGUGCAAGCGUUAAUCGGAAUUACUGGGCGUAAAGCGUGCGCAGGCGGUUUGGUAAGACAGAUGUGAAAUCCCCGGGCUUAACCUGGGAAUUGCAUUUGUGACUGCCCGGCUAGAGUUUGGCAGAGGGGGUAGAAUUCCACGUGUAGCAGUGAAAUGCGUAGAUAUGUGGAGGAAUACCGAUGGCGAAGGCAGCCCCCUGGGUCAAGACUGACGCUCAUGCACGAAAGCGUGGGGAGCAAACAGGAUUAGAUACCCUGGUAGUCCACGCCCUAAACGAUGUCUACUAGUUGUCGGGUCUUAAUUGACUUGGUAACGCAGCUAACGCGUGAAGUAGACCGCCUGGGGAGUACGGUCGCAAGAUUA